rnacentral:tRNA from 1 species
GCCGCUGUGGUGGAAUAGGCAGACACAAGGGACUUAAAAUCCCUCGCUGGCGACAGCGUACCGGUUCAAGUCCGGUCAGCGGCACCA